UAUUUAGAAAAACAGGUGAGU
rnacentral:piRNA from 1 species